rnacentral:rRNA from 1 species
UUAGAUUAAGUUAUUAAGGGCGCACGGUGGAUGCCUUGGCACUAGAAGCCGAUGAAGGACGUUACUAACGACGAUAUGCUUUGGGUAGCUGUAAGUAAGCGUUGAUCCAGAGAUUUCCGAAUGGGGAAACCCAGCACAAGUUAUGUUGUGUUAUCGACAAGUGAAUUCAUAGCUUGUCAGAAGGCAGACCCGGAGAACUGAAACAUCUUAGUACCCGGAGGAAGAGAAAGAAAAUUCGAUUCCCUGAGUAGCGGCGAGCGAAACGGGAAGAGCCCAAACCAAUAAGCUUGCUUAUUGGGGUUGUAGGACACUCUAUACGGAGUUACAAAGGAAUAUAUUAAACGAAUCAUCUGGAAAGUUGAAUCAAAGAAGGUAAUAAUCCUGUAGUUGAAAAUAUAUUCUCUCUUGAGUGGAUCCUGAGUACGACGGAGCACGUGAAAUUCCGUCGGAAUCUGGGAGGACCAUCUCCUAAGGCUAAAUACUCUCUAGUGACCGAUAGUGAACCAGUACCGUGAGGGAAAGGUGAAAAGUACCCCGGAAGGGGAGUGAAAGAGAACUUGAAACCGUGUGCUUACAAGUAGUCAGAGCCCGUUAACGGGUGAUGGCGUGCCUUUUGUAGAAUGAACCGGCGAGUUACGAUCUGAUGCAAGGUUAAGCAGAAAAUGUGGAGCCGUAGCGAAAGCGAGUCUGAAUAGGGCGUGUAGUAUUUGGUCGUAGACCCGAAACCAGGUGAUCUACCCAUGGUCAGGUUGAAGUUCAGGUAACACUGAAUGGAGGACCGAACCGACUUACGUUGAAAAGUGAGCGGAUGAACUGUGGGUAGCGGAGAAAUUCCAAUCGAACUUGGAGAUAGCUGGUUCUCUCCGAAAUAGCUUUAGGGCUAGCCUCAAGUGAUGAUUAUUGGAGGUAGAGCACUGUUUGGACGAGGGGCCCCUCUCGGGUUACCGAAUUCAGACAAACUCCGAAUGCCAAUUAAUUUAACUUGGGAGUCAGAACAUGGGUGAUAAGGUCCGUGUUCGAAAGGGAAACAGCCCAGACCACCAGCUAAGGUCCCAAAAUAUAUGUUAAGUGGAAAAGGAUGUGGCGUUGCCCAGACAACUAGGAUGUUGGCUUAGAAGCAGCCAUCAUUUAAAGAGUGCGUAAUAGCUCACUAGUCGAGUGACACUGCGCCGAAAAUGUACCGGGGCUAAACAUAUUACCGAAGCUGUGGAUUGUCCUUUGGACAAUGGUAGGAGAGCGUUCUAAGGGCGUUGAAGCAUGAUCGCAAGGACAUGUGGAGCGCUUAGAAGUGAGAAUGCCGGUGUGAGUAGCGAAAGACGGGUGAGAAUCCCGUCCACCGAUUGACUAAGGUUUCCAGAGGAAGGCUCGUCCGCUCUGGGUUAGUCGGGUCCUAAGCUGAGGCCGACAGGCGUAGGCGAUGGAUAACAGGUUGAUAUUCCUGUACCACCUAUAAUCGUUUUAAUCGAUGGGGGGACGCAGUAGGAUAGGCGAAGCGUACGAUUGGAUUGUACGUCUAAGCAGUGAGAUUGAGUGUUAGGCAAAUCCGGCACUCUUAAGAUUGAGCUGUGAUGGGGAGAGGAAAUUGUUUCCUCGAGUCGUUGAUUUCACACUGCCGAGAAAAGCCUCUAGAUAGAGAUUAGGUGCCCGUACCGCAAACCGACACAGGUAGUCAAGAUGAGAAUUCUAAGGUGAGCGAGCGAACUCUCGUUAAGGAACUCGGCAAAAUGACCCCGUAACUUCGGGAGAAGGGGUGCUCUUUAGGGUGCAAGCCCAGAAGAGCCGCAGUGAAUAGGCCCAAGCGACUGUUUAUCAAAAACACAGGUCUCUGCUAAACCGUAAGGUGAUGUAUAGGGGCUGACGCCUGCCCGGUGCUGGAAGGUUAAGAGGAGUGGUUAGCUUCUGCGAAGCUACGAAUCGAAGCCCCAGUAAACGGCGGCCGUAACUAUAACGGUCCUAAGGUAGCGAAAUUCCUUGUCGGGUAAGUUCCGACCCGC